rnacentral:tRNA from 1 species
GACAGCUUGGCCGAGUGGUUAAGGCGAUAGACUAGAAAUCUAUUGGUAACCCGCGUGAGUUCAAAUCUCACAGCUGUCG